UAUGUGAAAUUUUAUGAAUGCCGCGAUUUAUGAUAACAAAAAAAUGAUAUGAAAAAAAAUUGAGACUCCGCUGGGCAACAAUAGCAUACAGGGAAUCUAUGCGAACGAACAUGCAAAAAACUGAGUACAUCGAAAAAACGAAAUGACGAAUGGUCAGAAAUGAGUUGGUAAAAGAAGAAGAUAUUAUAGCAAUAACGAAAGUCAGAAAAAAACUGUGGAAAUAUCGAAAGAAAAAAUUUUCACUAUUCACAGCAAGCGAUACUGUCGUCGCGUGUAUAUUUACGUGUGUAUAAACGUUUGUGCUGAUGAGUGAGUGAGUGUGCUUGUAACGAAUUUUCAAAGGCGAUGUCGUUUUAUGUGUACACAUAUACGUAUGCACAUGUUAUAUCUGCAUAUUGUAGUAGUUGUCAAUUCAUACAUAUAUGAUGAGAUGAUUUUUGUGUCUGUGUUGCCUCGGUUGCCCCGGAGUCGCCGUAGCGGUUCAAUUAUUAAAUACGUGAAUUCAUGUUUUAUAUAUAUGCUUUAACUAUAUAUAUAUACAUAUAUUAAUGUAUAUAUAUAUACAUAUAUAUAUAUAUAUUCCUAUUAAAUAAAUUCUUUGCUUUGAUUUUCUCAGAAUUCUUUUGUUUGUCGUUUACAAACAAGUGUGCCUGAAAAUUCAAAACGGGUAAAUAACAACAAUGAAAAUAAUAACAGCGGCAAACGCUAAUAUGAAAAAUCAAAUUGAUUAGAAGUCCAGGAGCAAGUGAAAAAAAAUCAAAACGCACAUACAACACAAAAACGUUAUUCAAUUCCCUAAAUUUGUAUCAAAAUGCAUUCAUUCUGCAUCUUCUCUAGAGUGUGAUGUGUGUAUAAAUACAAAUAUGCACAACAGUGUGAUGUGUUUAAUAUAAAAAGAGCAGAGAAACAAAGCAAAAAUUACAAAAUUAUGGAAUUAAGAAAAUUUUUAAAUGAACUAUAAAUGCGUUUUUAAUAAUAUAUACGAAAGCAAUUCAAUAGUAUUAUAUAUUCCAUCGUAACGAGGACAUCAUCAAAUUGAACAACUUUAACAACAACAUUAAGGGAAUUUACUAACAAAAAGAAAAAAAGCAUAAUACAAAAAUAAAAAAGGAUAUUAUUGAAUAACUAUUUAAAUGAGGUCACAAGCUCAAAUGUUAAGGAUCUGCAAUGUUUUUGAGCAUAGUUUGACCACCGACGAGCCACAAUCCAAGUUUGAGUAAAAAUUGAAGUACUUAAUCUCGGAGCAGUUUUAUCUUGCAAAGGGAACAGGUUAUAUCCCUCUGUGUAGGACAUUUUUUCCAUAGCUACUUCGUAGUGUUAAUAAAAAAAAGUAUGAAUCCUUUUACUGAGCGGGGCGAAGCGGUUUUUAAAUGAUCUAACACAAUACAACAUAAACACUUCACUUAAAAAUAUGCCAUUUAUAAUGACAAUAUAUUCUUGGCGAGGUUUUUUUCUCUUUUAGGAAAUACAGUAAAGAAUAUUUUAACAGGUGCCGCACUGCAUUGGAUAUUAUGUUAUUAUUCUUAUAUAAGAUUAAUUUGGUAUUAAAUUUUUUUGGCGCAUAGCAAUCAGUAUUGGAACCCUGAGUUAUCAUGAAUAGCCGAAAUGUUUCUGUCUUGUGCUAAGAUUGCUUUCCGCUGAUUUCUUAAGAUUAGUGCGAAGCUGAUCAAAAUUAAGCCCUAACUAGAUAAAUUUAAAAUCGGCAUUUAUCUUAUCAUUCAAAAAUUGUAUCUAUGAAGUUGAAUGAAAUCUAAAGUCUUUCAUUAUCAAAAUAGUUAGCUAAAUUGAGUCUACAGGUUUUUUCACAGUAAGUGAAAAACCUUUAAUUAGAGAUAUCUCUCUUUGUUCCGUUUGUGUAAAAUCCAUUCCAUACAGUUAUCAAGUAUACAUGUGUGUAUUCGCUUUGGUAUACAUGCUGCGGCGAGUAUACGUUAGUGAAGUGCUGUCAAGUUACGCUAUUCUUAAUGUUCAAGCAUUCGUUAAUUUUGAAAAAACGACCAUUUCUAUAUGACAAUAUAUUGUGUUUUUUUUUCUUUUUGUUUUUAUUUAUUUUUUUUGUUUUAAUAUUAAAGUUAACAAGAGAAAAUUAAGUUUUUUUUUCGUGCGUGAUCUGUAUUUUCCUACUUACGUUAUAUAUCGCAGAUUUUUUUUUGUAAUUUCUAUCUCUUCUCUGUAGUCUGGUGAACGUACGGCUACAAUAAGCCUAACUUAACAGUAUAUGUCAUGUUAACUGGACAUGAAUUUCAGCAAAGGAAAUAUUAAAGACUUCCUUGUGUUCCUUGCUUAAUUGCACCUUACUUUCGUAUUUGUUUCAAUCAAUCUAAU